ACAGCUGGUGCACUGCACCGAUCCGAAGCCAGGAGCCAGGUGCUCUCCUGGUCUCCCAUGGGGUGCAGGGCCAUCCUCCACUGCCUUCCCAGGCCACAGCAGAGAGCUGAACUGGAAGAGGAGCAACCGGGACAGAAUCUGGUGCCCUGACAGGGACUAGAACCUGGGGUGCUGGCACCACAGGUGGAGGAUUAGCCAAGUGAGCUGUGGCACCGGCCAGGAAUAAUAUUCUUAUGCUCUUACUACUGAACUGUUGAAGAACAUAGUUUGUUUUUCAUUUCUUUUAUGUUUGUGGAGAGAUUAGGCAGGAGUUGUUGGUUGAUUUAAGAAAGUGUUCUGCUAACUGUAACAACUGUGACUAAAUCAGAUCUCAAUUCCUUAGGAUUUUCUUGAAUGGGAAACUUCACAUGUACAAAAUGUGAAUUGUUGCCAAAGAAAUAGCUGAAACCAGGAAAAUUACUCCUGUCCUGGUGGACCCAGGGGCACGAGAUUUGCCAAAGACCCCCCAAUACACUCCUGAAGACCUAAUCUGGAUAAAUGAUCAACCCAUGGCCCACCUAGACAAAGACUGGUGGAGGACAGCAGAUGGACGAGUCAUCCUACCGUACAAAUUAGGCCAGACCAUUUUAAGGAAAAUCCAUCAGGCUUCCCACCUGGGAACUAAAAAGCUGCAGAGCCUGCUCAAGCAAUCCGACCUGAGAAUACCCGAUGACAACUACCUUAUCAAAGAGAUUGUUUCCAAGUGUGGCACCUGUCGGUUAACUAACGCUUGUUUGGCCCCCAACAGUUCAGGUGCAAGAAUUAGGGGAACCCGACCAGGUAUGGGCUGGGAAGUUGACUUUACUGAAAUUAAAUCAGGAAAAUUUGGCUAUAAAUAUUUAUUAGUAUUCAUAGAUACUUUCUCUGGAUGGACUGAAGCCUUCCCCACAACACAUGAAACUGCCAACAUGGUAGCAAAAAAACUGGUUGAAGAGAUCAUGCCCAGGUAUGGAUUUCCCACCAUGAUCGGGUCAGACAACAGCCUGGCUUUCAUCUCGCAGGUAAGCCAGGGAAUGGCCACUGCACUGGGGGCAAAUUGGAAAUUACAUUGUGCAUACCGGCCCCAAAGCUCAGGACAAGAAUGAACAGAACUCUAAAAGAAAGAAUGAACUCUAGAAAGAAUGAACAGAAUGAACAGAAUUCUAAAAGAGACCUUAACUAAACUGGCCUUAGAGACUGGUGCAGACUGGGUAACUCUCCUUCCCUUUGCUCUAUUCCGGGUUAGAAAUUCCCCCUAUCAGCUAAGCCUUACUCCUUUUGAAAUUAUGUAUGGUAAACCUCCUCCCCUAAUACCUCGCUUACAGUUAUUUGAUUGCUGCUCUAGAUGACCAGGAUGUCCUGGACGCUGUGCGUCGGCUCCAGCUAACACACCAGGAUAUUUGGCCUAAAUUAAAAGCUGUAUAUGAAACUGCUUCUCACCUACCCCUCAUAGAUUCCAACCGGGGGAUUGGGUCCUGGUUCGGAGACAUCAUUGCAAGACUCUCGAGCCUCGAUGGAAGGGCCCCUUUGUCGUCCUCUUGACAACUCCCACGGCUCUCAAAGUAGACGGGUCGCCGCAUGGAUCUACUACUCUCAUGCCCAGCCGACGGACCCGCCUGCUCCUCCGACAAUGGAGCCCUGAGGAGAAACCUGGAGCAUCCUCAAACAUCCGUCCAGCCCAGGGAGACUCAAAUUGCGCAGAGAUGGGGGCCGAUCCCAAAACCCUCCCAGCCAGCUUUGAUUUUGCUUUUGCUCUUGUUUUUCUUUUCCUUCCGUCAAGCUUCGGCUGUAAGUAACCCUCAUCAACCGUACUGGUGGGUGCUGAGUAGAAACGGCAAAGUUCUACAAUCACAGAUCGGACCACUUGGUGGGCCAGUGACUGCAUCUUUUGUAACGACCCUUUGUGCUCUAGCCCCUCUUGGCCGCUGCUUAAGUGCUGAGGACUUCUAUAUGUGCCCUGCUUCAGGACCGACCUACUGUAACAAUCCCAGUCACUAUUUCUGUGCCUACUGGGGGUGUGAAACAAUAGCAUCAAGCUGGAUACUGAAACCAGGAAAAGAUCCAAAUAUCAAGAGGCAUUGAGGCAAUUCAGAGAAUGGGCAGCGAGGCGGGCAUGAAGCUGGAGCACAGAAGAGGUGAGGCAGGAAACGCCCAAGGGCACACACCACUGCACUGGAAGUGGAAUUGGACCUUCAUAAGGAGAUUUUGUCACUAUUCGUCUUUGCAUGCCCUUCCUGCAAGCUUCAGUAGAACAUGGAGCAUGGACAAGGAAAAGAAAAAUACAGAAUAAAACCAGUUCCCAAAAGAUAAAUAUUGCAUGUUUUCUCUGAUGUGUGUCAGUUACUAUAGAAUAUCAAAAAUGUAAUGUAUUCAGCAAAAUCAACAUUUUGAGAUGUGAUUAUUGUUUCCAGCCAUAUCUACACAUUUUUAAAAAGAUUUAUUUAUUUAUUUGAAAGGGAGAGUAACAG